CGCCCGUCAAACUAUGAAAGCUGGUAAUAUUUAAAAACGUGUUGCUAACCUUUAUUGGAAGCGCAUGUCAAGGAUAGCACCGGUGAUUGGAGUUAAGUCGUAACAAGGUACCCCUACGAGAACGUGGGGGUGGAUCACCUCCUUUCAAAUGGAGUUUUUAUUUUUUAUUUAUCUUAAACACCCAUUAAUUUUUUCGGUGCUAAAACCCAAAUCAAUGUUUGGUCUCACAACUAACACAUUUGGUCAGUUUGUAUCCAGUUCUGAAAGAAUGUUUUUGAACAGUUCUUUCAAAACUGAAAACGACAAUCUUUCUAGUUCCAAAAAUAAAUACCAAAGGAUCAAUACAAUAAGUUACUAAGGGCUUAUGGUGGAUGCCUUGGCACUAAAAGGCGAUGAAGGACGUGUUAACCUGCGAUAAGCUUCGGGGAGGUGGUAAAAACCUGAGAUCCGGAGGUGUCCGAAUGGAGCAAUCUGGUAGCUUGCAAAAGUUACCAUUAAUUAAUGAAUUCAUAGUUAAUUAAAGCGAUACGUGGUGAAGUGAAACAUCUCAGUAACCACAGGAAAAGAAAACGAAUGUGAUUCCGUGUGUAGUGGCGAGCGAAAGCGGAACAGGCCAAACCUAUCUGAGGAUAGGGGUUGUAGGGCUUGCAUUAUGGAAGUUAAAAGGAUAGAAGAAGCUGUUGGAAAGCAGCGCCAAAGAGGGUGAUAGCCCCGUAUUUGAAAUCUUUUUAAUACCUAGCAAGAAACCUGAGUAGCUCGAAAAACGUUAUUUUGAGUGAAUCUGCCCAGACCAUUGGGUAAGCCUAAAUACUAAUUAGUGACCGAUAGCGAAACA
rnacentral:sRNA from 1 species